UACAGAGGGUGCGAGCGUUAAUCGGAAUUACUGGGCGUAAAGCGUGCGUAGACGGUCAAGUAAGUCGGGUGUGAAAGCCCCGGGCUCAACCUGGGAAUUGCAUUCGAGACUGCGUGGCUAGGGUGCGGAAGAGGGAAGCGGAAUUUCCGGUGUAGCGGUGAAAUGCGCAGAUAUCGGGAAGAACACCCGUGGCGAAGGCGGCACUCUGGGACGGUACUGACGCUGAGACGCGAAAGCGUGGGGAGCGAACAGG
rnacentral:rRNA from 1 species